GUUGCGACCCCAGGUCAGGCUGGACUACCCGCUGAGUUUAAGCAU
rnacentral:rRNA from 1 species